rnacentral:rRNA from 1 species
GAUGAACGCUGGCGGCGUGCCUAAUACAUGCAAGUCGAGCGAACGGACGAGAAGCUUGCUUCUCUGAUGUUAGCGGCGGACGGGUGAGUAACACGUGGAUAACCUACCUAUAAGACUGGGAUAACUUCGGGAAACCGGAUCUAAUACCGGAUGAUAUUUUGAACCGCAUGGUUCAAAAGUGAAAGACGGUCUUGCUGUCACUUAUAGAUGGAUCCGCGCUGCAUUAGCUAGUUGGUAAGGUAACGGCUUACCAAGGCAACGAUGCAUAGCCGACCUGAGAGGGUGAUCGGCCACACUGGAACUGAGACACGAUCCAGACUCCUACGGGAGGCAGCAGUAGGGAAUCUUCCGCAAUGGGCGAAAGCCUGACGGAGCAACGCCGCGUGAGUGAUGAAGGUCUUCGGAUCGUAAAACUCUGUUAUUAGGGAAGAACAUAUGUGUAAGUAACUGUGCACAUCUUGACGGUACCUAAUCAGAAAGCCACGGCUAACUACGUG